rnacentral:misc_RNA from 1 species
UCCAGUUUAUCACUGGCAGUCUCCUUUGAGUUCCCGGCCGGACCGCUGGCAACAAAGGAUAAGGGUUGCGCUCGUUGCGGGACUUAACCCAACAUUUCACAACACGAGCUGACGACAGCCAUGCAGCACCUGUCUCACGGUUCCCGAAGGCACUAAGGCAUCUCUGCCAAAUUCCGUGGAUGUCAAGACCAGGUAAGGUUCUUCGCGUUGCAUCGAAUUAAACCACAUGCUCCACCGCUUGUGCGGGCCCCCGUCAAUUCAUUUGAGUUUUAACCUUGCGGCCGUACUCCCCAGGCGGGAUACUUAAUGCGUUAGCUUCGGCACGACUGGAUUCAAUCCCAGUCACACCAAGUAUCCAUCGUUUACGGCGUGGACUAC